rnacentral:rRNA from 1 species
CAGAGGUCUCAAGCGUUGUUCGGAUUCAUUGGGCGUAAAGGGUGCGUAGGUGGCGCUGUAAGUCGGGUGUGAAAUUUCGGAGCUCAACUCCGAAACUGCAUUCGAUACUGCGGUGCUUGAGGACUGGAGAGGAGACUGGAAUUCAUGGUGUAGCAGUGAAAUGCGUAGAGAUCAUGAGGAAGACCAGUGGCGAAGGCGGGUCUCUGGACAGUUCCUGACACUGAGGCACGAAGGCCAGGGGAGCAAACGGGAUUAGAUACCCCGGUAGUCCUGGCAGUAAACGGUGCACGUUUGGUGUGGGAGGAUUCGACCCCUUCCGCGCCGGAGCUAACGCGUUAAACGUGCCGCCUGGGGAGUACGGUCGCAAGAUUA